rnacentral:rRNA from 1 species
AACGAACGCUGGCGGCAUGCCUAACACAUGCAAGUCGAACGAAGUCUUCGGACUUAGUGGCGCACGGGUGCGUAACGCGUGGGAAUCUGCCCUUGGGUGCGGAAUAACUUCUCGAAAGGAUGCUAAUACCGCAUAAUGUCGUAAGACCAAAGAUUUAUCGCCCAAGGAUGAGCCCGCGUAAGAUUAGCUAGUUGGUGGGGUAAAAGCCUACCAAGGCGACGAUCUUUAGCUGGUCUGAGAGGAUGAUCAGCCACACUGGGACUGAGACACGGCCCAGACUCCUACGGGAGGCAGCAGUGGGGAAUAUUGGACAAUGGGCGAAGCCUGAUCCAGCAAUGCCGCGUGAGUGAUGAAGGCCCUAGGUUGUAAAGCUCUUUUACCUAGGGAUGAUAAUGACAGUACCUGGAGAAUAAGCUCCGGCUAACUCCGUGCCAGCAGCCGCGGUAA